rnacentral:rRNA from 1 species
AUACGGAGGGUGCAAGCGUUACUCGGAAUCACUGGGCGUAAAGCGCGCGCAGGCGGGCUGAUAAGUUGGAUGUGAAAGACUACGGCUCAACCGUAGAACUGCAUCCAAAACUGUCAGUCUAGAGUGUGGGAGAGGAAGAUGGAAUUAGUUGUGUAGGGGUAAAAUCCGUAGAGAUAACUAGGAAUACCAAAAGCGAAGGCAAUCUUCUGGAACACUACUGACGCUGAGGCGCGAAGGCGUGGGGAGCAAACAGGAUUAGAAACCCCAGUAGUCC